rnacentral:siRNA from 1 species
AUGUUUUGCUUAUGUUUUGCAUAA